UUCCUUCCUGCUGUUUUAGACAAGUGGUGGAACGGCGAACACCAGAGAGCGAGGAGGGCACACGCACGCCGCAACGCAGUGAGUAGGUAGGUAGGAGUGGGGGCGAAUGGGUAGGACGAAGACGGAGUGAGCUAAGUCAAGUUCAAAGGUCGUGGCCGGUGGCCCUUCGUCGCCCCGCGCGUCACCCUUUCUUCCUUGCGGCGUUCUCUUCUCUUCCCGCGACGCUGGCGCGACGAGCGGCGCCGUCUCUAGGCCGCCGCCGCGAGCUUAGCUGCCGGUACUACUCUCACUUCUUCUAUAAACCAAAGAGGCAUAGAGAGUAGGAGUAGUUAGACCGAAGAUAAUACCUCGCACGACUACUCUUAGAAGAAGGUCGUCAAAUGUUCCUUCAGCCACGUCGGAAGUUACGACCAGGGUGACUGGACCCUAUGGAAUUAAAACAUUACUUGAAAGAAUUCAGCUAUCGUAGCGGGAACCGGCCGUAGGAACGAGAAGUGAUACUAGCGGGUCGUCACGAACGUUAUCCUUGACAGAAGACCCGGAAUAGUUGUCCCCGACAACCACAAUCGGUCGUAAAAGUCGUCCAACGUAAGACCUCUCGAUAUUUACCGGAACCUGAACGGUAACAUUAUGGUCGUGAAGUCAGCAAGUAUCGCCUAUCGAUGUUUCUACCAUGUGCGCCUCGACCCAAACCAAACAAUUCGGAGUAGCCACGUCAUCCUCCAUAUCCACCAUCAUAACACCGUUGUGAGUACCGACCCUUCCUGAUGACCCCUAACGGGCCCACCGCAGAACGAAAAUAAUACCAACGCGAACAGUCGAAGUAUUAACCUUAAGAACAGAUGAACAUAACAUGACUAGGUUCUUCUUAGGGACCUUUAGUAGAAGAACUACUGCUGCUGAUGCUCUCCAGUGUAGACAGGUCGUUUCUACAAGAAGGAGGCUGGAGAUAGACCUACCUAAGAACCCAUCGUUACUUCUCACAGUACUUUCACUUCUGUAAAGUCUAGUAACACAACGUCCCCUAUUAACCGAGUAACGGGACCUGGCGGUAUCAAAAGAAGUGGUACACCAAACUUGAGUAACCAAAACUGUUAUCCUCAAGACGUCGUAACUUGUCGGAUAAGCGGUAACCCACGCGGUCACCUCGAGAGGAACCACCACAUGAUCGUCUGGCGGACAGUGCCGUGAUAGGGCUAAGACGUGCGUAGUACACGCGAGUCAAAUCGCGGAAGUACCCGUAAGGAAAGAGUACCUAGGAAGAAUGUCAGUAAGGAGUCAGUUGACUGAUGACCAAACGGAUGCGGCAGUGUGAGAAGAAGUACCCAUAGUGGUAGUCGACCACACGAUGAAGGCGUUUGUUGGGGUACAAGCGCCUCCAUCAGGGAGGGUUCGUGGCGUGGUACUAGAUGCGGAAGCUGGCCCGAAAACUCCCAAGUAAGCGGAGUGACCGGCGAGGACGACAACCGAACCAGUGACUCUUCUAUAUACCGAUGCUGCGGUUCUGACAUUUGUAGCGUUUGCCUAGUCGUGUUCCCCGCAUACGCGACAGCUCUCCCGAUGAUUGGUACUACUAGGAAGGAAAACCAUAAACACAGGACAAGAUGUCGGGAAACAUGGAACACAAGUUCGUGCUGUCUCUGUUACGGUUCCAUCGGUCUAAGUUCCUGGUCCUCGAUUAGACUUUUAUUUUUAUAAAGACGUCACUACAAAGACUAUUCCUAAGCUCGAAUAAACACUUACAAAACCAACAUUUAGCCUCGUUUUCUGUUAUAUACGAUAGUCCCUUUACACUACGAUCAAGAUUGUUUCACGGUUGUAGUGAUCUAUUAGACUCGUGUAACACAUGAACAUGUGCUAUUGAAUUUGACGAUAGAAUAUCUUGAAG
rnacentral:rRNA from 1 species